rnacentral:lncRNA from 1 species
UCAUAAAAUAAAGCAUCUGAAAAGAGGACAAUAGAAAAAGAGGUGAGAGAAUUGAUAUAGAAAGAUGAUUUUUGAUCCUGUGUUUGGAGCAUGUUUGACUGAGAGAUUUGGGCUCUUAAAAGUGAACAGAAAUAAGGGACUCCCAUUAUAAUCCGUGGGGAUCCUAUUUUCAUUUAAUUUUAGGAGAGGAUGAAAACAUCCCAAUCUCCUAAAAUCCAAUCUCUAAUCUUAUCUAAUAUUU